rnacentral:tRNA from 1 species
UAUCUCGGCCGGGAAUCGAAAUCGGGCCGCCCACGUGGCAGGCGAGCAUUCUACCACUGAACCAUCGAUGGU